ACCACUUCUAAUGAUGUCAGCAGACUGCUUGUUUUUCUGAGUCUAACAGCAUGCAGAGUUACAGCUUCAGGCUUGAAUACAGUAAGAUUUUGCUAUAUUUAUGGAGGCAUGAGGGGCCCAGGGGGGCUAGACGGUGGUGUUAACACUAUAGGGUCAUGAAUUCAUGUGCUUCUACACUCACUACAUAAAGCUUUUUCUCUGUC